UGUGCUGGGCCUGGCUGCACAUUGGCUGCUGGGCUUCAGGGAACAAAGGAGCUAGAAACCAGUGGCAGCAGAGAACACUCCGAGGAGCAGGACCCGCGUGAAGGCAGGCAAAAAGAAAGAUAGUAACCCUGAAGGAAAAGUCAACUGGACCAGUCUCAGUGUCCAUACAGGUUUCCUGCCAAUAAACCUUCAAUGGCAGCUGGAGGCCACAGACUCUCUGCCCGUGGUUGUCUGUCUGUUGCCCAGCUGAGGAUGCUUCUAUUCCAGCAGGAAGCAGGUCAUCUGAGAAUGAAGCUCCAGCACCACAGAACUGGCUGUUUUCUCUCCCUUUAAGUCUCUAUAAAUCAUAUAUAGCAAUGUUGGCAUGAGUCAUAAGACUGGGCAGCGGAGCUCCUGCUAAUCCACGCAGCUGCAUGGGCCUAAAAUACCUCCGUGAAUAGAGUGUGUUUGUCCUGCUCGGUUGAUCGCAUAAAUAGGAAAUCAGCAAAAUCUAGGGGUUCCCCAGUCUCUGAGUCUCGCAGUUCUUGGUUUGCUGCUGUCCCUUCUGUUUGCCCAGUGUCAACCCGUUUGCCAGCCUCUUGCCUCGACAGGGUCUCUCACUGGACCAGGAACUCCACGAUGAGCUAUUGAGCAAACCUACAGAUCCUCUCAUCUCUAACUCCCCAGUGUCGGAUUACUGCCAUGCUAUCACGCUCAGCUUUCUACAGGAGUGCUGGUGACCGAGCUCAUGCUUUCCUGUCCCUGGAGCAGGCGCCAUACAGACCGGGCCAUCUCUCCAGCAUCCCCGAUCACUUUCAUUUUGAUUCCCUCCUGAUGUAGAGAGAAUAAACCUCCAUUUCAGAGGGAACGGGGUUUGAGUCUAUUAGCAUGUACCUCUGACAAGUCGCUCACCGCUCUUCCUCACUCUAAGAAGUGGUUAGUGAUA
rnacentral:lncRNA from 1 species